GAUGAAGAACGUAGCGAAAUGCGAUACUUGGUGUGAAUUGCAGAAUCCCGUGAACCAUCGAGUCUUUGAACGCAAGUUGCGCCUCAAGCCAUUAGGUUGAGGGCACGUCUGCCUGGGCGUCACAUAUCGUUGCCUGAUGCCAGUUUCCUCGUGAUGGGUGACUGUGCAGGGCGAAUGAUGGCUUCCCGUGAGCAUUGUUGCCUCAUGGUUGGUUGAAAAUUGAGUCCUUGGUAGGGAGCGCCGUGAUAGAUGGUGGUUGAGUGACGAACGAGACCCAAUCAUGUGAGACCCCUGCCGAAUUUGGCCUUCAUGACCCACAUGCGUCUUUGGAACGCUCAUGACGAGACCUCAGGUCAGGCGGGGCUACCCGCUGAGUUUAAGCAUAUCAAUAAGCGGAGGA
rnacentral:misc_RNA from 1 species